rnacentral:rRNA from 1 species
CACGGGGGGAGCAAGCGUUGUUCGGAAUCACUGGGCGUAAAGGGCGUGUAGGCGGCCCGAUUAGUGGGAUGUGAAAUGCCCCGGCUUACCCGGGGACCUGCAUCCCAAACUGUCGGGCUUGAGUAUGGGAGAGGAUGAGGGAAUUCCUGGUGUAGCGGUGAAAUGCGUAGAUAUCAGGAGGAACACCGGUGGCGAAGGCGCUCAUCUGGCCCAAUACUGACGCUGAGGCGCGAAAGCUGGGGAAGCAAACGGGAUUAGAAACCCCCGUAGUCC